CACAUUCGCCACUUUCUGUUGGAUUUCUUCACCAUCACCACGUUGGCUAGCCAUUGUGGGUAUUUGACUUCGCGUAUAUGUCCUGCAUUGAUUAGUUUUUCUAUUUCAGCCCAUGUUAUUUCUUUCCUUUCAGCUGUGAGAAUUCUUCGCUUAUGCCAUAUUAGAGUGAAGUCCGGAUCAAUCUUUAGCUCAUGGCAUGUUGUGGUCUAUUGUAUCUGUGAGGGUGCCUCUCCCUCCCAUACAAACGAUGCCUCAUGAGUAUUCUGUAAUUCUAUCAAGGAAGCUUUUAAUUCUGAGGUAAUGGACGUACCUAUUAGAAUUUUUCCUCCCUUAGUUAGUGCAACUUCUUCUAUUUGGCCAUGUGGUGCCAUUUCCUCCUUGUCCUCCCUCUCUCGGAUGA
rnacentral:lncRNA from 1 species